UGGGGAAUAUUGCACAAUGGGCGCAAGCCUGAUGCAGCCAUGCCGCGUGUAUGAAGAAGGCCUUCGGGUUGUAAAGUACUUUCAGCGAGGAGGAAGGCGGUAAGGUUAAUAACCUUAUCGAUUGACGUUACUCGCAGAAGAAGCACCGGCUAACUCCGUGCCAGCAGCCGCGGUAAUACGGAGGGUGCAAGCGUUAAUCGGAAAUACUGGGCGUAAAGCGCACGCAGGCGGUCUGUCAAGUCGGAUGUGAAAGCCCCGGGCUCAACCUGGGAACUGCAUUCGAAACUGGCAGGCUAGAGUCUUGUAGAGGGGGGUAGAAUUCCAGGUGUAGCGGUGAAAUGCGUAGAGAUCUGGAGGAAUACCGGUGGCGAAGGCGGCCCCCUGGACAAAGACUGACGCUCAGGUGCGAAAGCGUGGGGAGCAAACA
rnacentral:rRNA from 1 species